rnacentral:rRNA from 1 species
UUUUAUGGAGAGUUUGAUCCUGGCUCAGGAUAAACGCUGGCGGCGUGCCUAAUACAUGCAAGUCGAGCGAACGGACGAGAAGCUUGCUUCUCUGAUGUUAGCGGCGGACGGGUGAGUAACACGUGGAUAACCUACCUAUAAGACUGGGAUAACUUCGGGAAACCGGAGCUAAUACCGGAUAAUAUUUUGAACCGCAUGGUUCAAAAGUGAAAGACGGUCUUGCUGUCACUUAUAGAUGGAUCCGCGCUGCAUUAGCUAGUUGGUAAGGUAACGGCUUACCAAGGCAACGAUGCAUAGCCGACCUGAGAGGGUGAUCGGCCACACUGGAACUGAGACACGGUCCAGACUCCUACGGGAGGCAGCAGUAGGGAAUCUUCCGCAAUGGGCGAAAGCCUGACGGAGCAACGCCGCGUGAGUGAUGAAGGUCUUCGGAUCGUAAAACUCUGUUAUUAGGGAAGAACAUAUGUGUAAGUAA